rnacentral:lncRNA from 1 species
GAGAGAGAGAGGGAGGAGAGGAUGAUGAGCCGCUGGUAGUCCCUGCUGCUCCUGCUGCUGCUGCUGCUGCUCCAUCCUCCAUCCCUCCGUUCUCCUCCGAGCAACGGGCUGUGGAAUAAGCGUCAAACGCCGAGGACGCGCCGCAUCCAGAGCGCACAGAUUGAAGCUUUUCGUUUCGCCGACCUCUUCUACAUAAAGCAAUGGAACCCCAUUUCCUGAUGAGACUGUGGUGAGACUGGUGCAGCCCUGUCACGCCCUCAGCGCCCCCUUUCGGCCCGGACGG